AAUCUCUAUCUAAAGAGAAAAAUUGAAGACAGUGAUUUCCAUCGGACUGGUAACGAGGAAGAAGAAGAUGAAGACCAUGAAGAAGAAGAUCUGUCGCGGCGGUCCUAGUUCCCUUCGAGUGGACCUUUUCCACCAUUUUUCUGCAUCUUGUUCUAUUUUUUCUUUAACUACGAUAACCCAAUCAAGAAAACUCAAUCAUUUCAGUCUGAAACCUUUUUUUUUCCAUUUAGUGUUCAUAUAUAGCAUUUUCUUCAUUGUAUAAUUUAUAUUUCAGGUUCAAUGUGAUCAUUUUGAAGACUUCUUUUUUGCAUUUGAGCUGGAUAAAUAUGUCUAUGAAGCCUUGUUCAAAAGGAAAACAGCAGAGGUUGGUUAAAUCAUCUAUUGAGUUGGCCUAAAAUCUUUCUGUCAUUUACGAUGCUAUUGUUUUGUGCAGGUUUUCAGUGGAAAUAUCAACUGCUCAUAAGAAAACUUCCCUAAAUCGAUUGGUCAAGUUGGAUUUUCUGUGAUUUGUGAUUAUUUUUAUUUUCUUAUCUUCUUGACUUAGUUAAUUUUGUGCAGUUUGAUCAAAUUUUCUUUCUUUUGUAUUUUCGUAUGUUAUCUAUGUGCUUUUAGAUCGGUGUAGUAAUCCUAAUAUCUUUAAUCGCCACAAACAAGUAUGUAUUGUUUGAUUUUUGUUUCAAGGGAAGUUCAUUAUGUUAUUUUUAUGUAAUUUUGAGUUGGAGCACGCAGAUCCCAAAAAUACAUAGUUUCUCCUCCGAAAAUGACUUUUCCGGUUGGGGAUCGCAUUAGAUAUUCACCUAAACACAUAAAGAAGAUAAAAAAAAUGUCCAGAUUUUUCUCAGAUUCCGUUUUCCAAACAUUGAAGGUUUCUUUCUCAAUUUGGGACAACAUUGGGGACUCAGGUGCUCUUAUUCUUGCUUCCCUUAUGCUUCAGACUUAUCCAAUGAAGCCAAACAGGUCAAGAAAAAAAAAACCACAACUUCUUUAUAUCUUGUCCUAAGGAUCAGAACAAAUUGGCAUAUUACUACUAAGUAUAUAGUCGAGAUGUAUUUAGAUACUUCCAAGGUUUGCCUUGAUUGGAAGUCUAAACUGAUUAGGAAGGCUGUAGAGUGC
rnacentral:lncRNA from 1 species